rnacentral:tRNA from 1 species
GCCUCCUUAGCUCAGUGGUAGAGCAUUCGCCUUGUAAGCGAAAUGUCAUCGGUUCAAUCCCGAUAGGAGGCUCAA